CAGAUGAGUCUUUACAUACAGUGAAAGACUCCAGGACUCUUUCUGCUUGUUGGGAAUAUACACUCCUGCCCUGAAACAUAAAUUCUACUGCCGAUUGUCCAUCCAAAGGUACAGGUCUUCAGUUUUAUCAGAGACCUUAGGAAUUGCCACAUAAACGACAAAGAUCUUGCUUCCUGGGCUCACCUCACAGGAUUCCUUGUCUCAAACCCAGCCUCAGACCAAGUGGUAUUUUUGAUGCAAGCUUGAGAGCCACCAACGACUGAACCUAACACCUUGCGACCCUUCCAUUCCCUUUGGGGAUUGCUUAGCACUUUUUUUCCCCAUGCUUGGAGUGCGAUAACUGACAAAUGGGUGCUGAAUAUCAUCCACCAUAGCUAUACGAUCAAGUUUGUAAUGCUAACUUCUCCAAAAUCCUCCUCCCCACCCCCUUUUGGGACCAGUCUCAUGACAAUAUUCUCAUCCAAGGAGUGAACUCCUUAUUACAAUGAAGAACAAUCGAACUCAUCCCACUGGAAUAUCAAGGAAUAGGAUUCUACUCGACUUAAUUUCCUGAUUCCCAAAAAGGACUGUUGGAGACCAAUCCUCGACCUCUGCUACUUCAGUCAUUUCAUUCACAAACUCAAGUGUUGCAUUGGCAGCGAUAAUUCCAUCUCUAGAAAGACGUGUUCAUGGCUCUUGUUAUGAAGGAUGCUUGCUUGUUUUCACAUCAACAGUCACCCUGCCCCGACGUUUUCUCAGGUUUAAGAUGGGUGCCAACUAUUUCCAAUACCAAGUACUUAGCUUUGGAAUAGCUACCAUUACCAGAGUCUUCACCAAAAUAUUUUCCAUAGUAGCAGCUUAAGCCUGGUGUUAUCGUCUCUUUGUUUUUUCUGUACCUCAACGACUGGCUCCUGGCUGCCAAAUUGCACUAAGAAGCCCAUAUGCCAACCUGUUACUCAACGUCCUCGCUUCGCUGGGAGUCAGCAUCAACGCUGAGAUAUCAAUCCUCAACCCCAUGCAAUCAUUGGACUUCAUUGGGACUACCAUAACUUCUAUCACAGCACAAGCAUACCUGCCCACAGACAAAUUUCAGGAGAUGAACAUCAUAUCUCAUCAGGAACAACCCUCAAGUACCAGGCAUGACUUGCCUGUCUCUUGUCCGCACGGCUUUGUGCACCUAUGUGACCUUCGCUGCCUUCAGACUUGGCUCCAGUCCAUGUUCUCACUGAACCAUCACUUUCUGAACCUGAAAGUUCAAGCCAGGGUAUUGUUCUCUCUCCUAUGGUAGACUGACCCACAUCUGUGUGUGGGAGUUCCCUUUUUUCCCUCCUCCCCAAACAAAAUUAUCACCAACGCACCUUAGUGGGCUGGGGAGCCCAUAUGGAUGACCUUAUGAUACAAGGUACAUGGACACUUUGAGUAUCCAGGAUGCGUCUCAGUCUUAUGGAACUUAGAACAGUAUAAAAAGGUUUGCAGAUCGUUUGUCCAACUCACAUGCUCUCACUGAUCAUGUCAGACAAUACCAGCACUGUUUUCUAUAUCAACAAACAAGAGGGGACAUGAGAGAGUGAGAUUCUCCACUUUAUGCACAGAAAUAUUGAACCUCUGGACCUGAUGCAUCAAACAUCAUAUCACCCUAUCCACAGCCUACCAGGGAUGUAGAAUGUCCCCGUGGACUCACUCAGCAGACACUUCGGGAUUGACGAGUGGGAACUUCACGAUACAGUGCUACACAACAUCUUUCAACAAUGGCGAACCCCAAUCAGAGACCUAUUUGCUUCUCAGACCAACAGCAAGUGCACCAUGUACUGCUCCUGGGAAGCCAUUGAUUAUCAUUCCCGGGGUGAUGCGCUCCUACACUCUUGGUCAGACCAGCUCAACUAUGCUUUCCCUCCACUGCUGCUCCUUCCUUGAGUAUGCCACAAAAUCUGAAAAGACAGGGAGGUGGUCAUUCUACACUCACUCACUCACUCCCCUCUGGCCGACAAUUUUGAUUCCCCAGUUUCCUUCACAUGUGAUCUUGUCCACCAGUUCCCAUCCUGAACUUCCCUGAUCUUCUGACCCAGUACAGUGGCACCCCACUCCACAUGCCACUCAGGGCAUAGAUUUGGAUGGGCAUCUACUCUAGAAUGGACAUGCUCCUCAGCUAUACAAGACAUCUCUCUAACAGUGGGAAGGAUUGUACUAGGUAAUGUUACCAGGCUAAAUGGAGACUUUUUUUGUCUUGGGCUAACAUAAAGGGGUUCUACCAGAAGUGGGCAGAAAUUCCCUUAAUCCUGGAUUAUAUUCUAUCUCUAAAGUCAUUGAGUCUUGCCCAUAGCACUUUGACAGUCCACCUGAUGGCAGUCAGCACAUUCCAUCCACCUGUGAGGGGUUCCUCUGAUUUUACACAUCCGCUAACCACUAGAUUUUGGAAGGGCCUCCUCAGAACCUUCCCUCCCCUCCAAACGGUCAUACCUCAAUGCGACUUGAAUUUGGUACUCUGCUUCAAUUAAACCCCCCUUUGAGCCACUGGCAUCUUCUUCAACGUCUCUCCUUUCCACUAAAGUCAACCUUCCUGGUUGCUAUCACUUUGGUGAGAAGAGUCUGUGAACUUGGAGCUAUGAUAGCAGAUAGGUCGUUCACAGUAUUCCACAAGGAUAAGGUCUCCUUAUGUCUACACCUUAAACUUCUACCAAAGGUGGUAUCCUACUUUCUCAUGAAGUAAUCUUGUUUUCUUCCCGAAACCAUAUACCUCUGCAGAAGAAUACCAACUCCAUUCCCUUGGCAUCAGGAAGUCCCCUAGACUGUUUAUUGCAGUUGCCGAGAGGCUAAAGACAGGCCAUCUCCAGGAGGAUUUCUGGUUUCAUCAAUUUCUGUCAUCUCUCGGGCUUUCCUCCCCACCAGAGAGAUAUGGGCUCAGGCUACCAACACAGCCUCCCUUCAGGAUGUGCCUCUCAGGCCAGGUCUACACCGGGGGUGGGGGGUGGAAUCGAUCUAAGUUAUGCAACUUCAGCUAUGUGAACAACAUAGCUGAAGUUGAUGUACUUAGAUCUACUCACCGUGGUGUUUUCACUGUGACUUCACUGUGUUUUCACAGUCGACAGCUGACGCUCCCCCAUCAACUCCACCUGCACCUCUCGCCUCAGUGGAGUACUGGAGUUGACGGGAGAGUGCUUAGUGGUCGAUUUAUUGCGUCUAGACUAAACACAAUAAAUCGACCCCUGCUGGAUCGAUCGCUGCCCGUCAAUCCUUUGGGUAAUGUAGACAAGCCCUCAUAGACAUACGUAGAGCAACCACAUGGAGUUCUGUGCACACCUUAGUAACACUCUAUGCCUUGGAGCAGUACUUAGCAUCAGAUGCCUCCUUUGGCACGGCAGUUCUCUGCACAACCCUUCCAUCCUCCUCAUCGCACCCUUCUCCAACCAAAGCACUAUUUGUCAGUCAUCCUCAGUGGAAUACAAUAGAGACAAUCACUCAAAAAAAGAAGAGAAAGUUGCUUACCUGUAGCUGGAGGUUCUUUGAGAUGUGUGGUCCCUACCUGUAUUCCACUUUCCAUCCUCCUUCUCCUCUGCGUCGAGUCUGUCAGAUUCAUGGUAGAGAAAGAACUGGAGAUGUCGUCCUUCUGCCCUGUCCUUUAUCGCCUUGGUUGGAAACAUGAGGUGAGUGAGGGCCCAUGCGCAGAUCAGUGGACACUACUUUCAGAAUUUCUCCAACUCUGAGUGUGUGGUAUGCACACUCCCAGUGGGUUACAGAUAGACCACAUAUCUUGAAGAACCUGCAGUGAGAGGUAAAUAACCUCCUCUUACACAUGUGGCUCCUUCCUCUGCAUCAGGCUCCUCCAGGCUUGACGACUGGGACUGACUGGACUGGAAUGGAGUCUCAAACAGGUCCUGGUUCAUGGCAUAGCUGGACCCCUCCUCCCAUUAGCAUGUCCUGUAUCUUUCUCCUCCUCAUUUCGGUUCAUGGCAGGGGCCUGUGACUUGGGCCCCACAGAGGUAUCCACAGUGAUGUGUGGAGUGGUAAUGAGGUCAUUGCCAAGCACGACAUGUAGCUCUUUGUAAAAGCGGCAGGUCUGCAGCUUGGCAUUGGAUUGACUGUUGGCCUCCCUGGCCUUCUGAUAUGUCUGAUGUGGUUCCUUCACUUCCAUGAGGCACUGCUGCUGGUCCAUGUCAUAUCCUUGCUCCCACAUCCCCUGUGUAAUCUGUUUCUAGAAGUCCACCUUUCUACAGCUGUGCUCAUACAGGCUCUUCUCCCCAUAUCCAGUAUCUCUUAUCUACUCCAAGCUGCAACUUAUCUGAAGCAUGUAGCCAGCAUAGUCAGCUGGGCAGCUGUGCAUAAGAAUGGAGAACUGCUAGGUGCGCUUGCCAAGCUGGACAGUCAGGGAAAAAGCAUUUGAAAAAUUCGUGGGGCUUUAAAGGGGAGGGAGGCUUUCUGUUCUCUGACCCAUGGGCAACGUAGUUCACAAUUGACACCAGAGCAGUCAUUGUCAGACAGUGUGAGACAUCUUCUGGAGGACCGUUAGGGACGACAUAAGUAGCAAUGUCUUCACUUGUGCCGUAUCAACCUCAGUACAUCAAUCCUGGCUCAACACGAAGGAGAUGGUGUUAGUGUGUUUGUAAUGGGACACUUACAUCCAUGGGAAACAUAUUUAAGGGUAGACACAUGCAUAACUAGGUCAACGCAAGGCAGCUUACGUUAACCUAACUUUGUUGUGUAGACGAGGCCUUAAUAAGGAAUUAUUCUCAGAAUGUAGCACUGUGAAACAGAAUUAGGAGAGUAAUUUUGGAGGAAUUAAAAAGAUGCUGUCAAUGUAUAUUUAUUGAAAUAACUAAUUUCAGUUUUUUUCAAAAUGUAUCAUUUAAACAGUAUGCCCUGAAAGAUUUUUUUUUUUUUAAAUGGCUUUUAUUUGUAAGGUGUAGUGGGUUUUUUUUGUUUUUUUUUAAAUGAAGGGCUCAAGUCUUGCAUUCCUUCCUUUACCUUCACAGAUAUUUUCCAGCAUUUUUAAAUAAAGCGUUGCAAUUUGUAGUGCAUGAGAUAAGAAAUGCAACUGAUGCAACAGUCAAGAAAAUUGUUUGGCUGUACACACAAAUGUUAUGAAAUGUGCAGAAUAAAGAAACUGAAAAUAGAGAAUUUUUUACUAAAUUUCUUAUUUAGUAAUUUUAGGUGUUGCAACAAUUUUAUGUAAAAACUGAAACAAACGUUCACUGUAAAAAAGCAAACUUCUAGUGAAAAAUAGAGAGGCAACCAAAUGUAUAUGUUAAUGAAAGUUUGCAGAGGGAAAAGAUACUAAAGAGGAAAUCAGCACCUCUACGAAACAAGGUGCACUAGUGUGUAUACAGUGUUCUCUGUGAGCAAAAACUGUACAAGGUUACUCCUACCCACUUGGUUUUUAGCAUCUAAAUGUUAAACACCUGCUUGUACUUUUUUUCAAACUCAAACUGUGCAAAACAUUUCACUGAUUAUUCUGCCUAUAUUCCCAAUUCUAUCUUAAAUUUCUGUGCUCCAUCUCUAGAACUAAGAUUUUAAAAAAUAGUUCAUCUCAUUACUUAAGUUCGAUAUGUUUUUGACCUCUAUGUGGUGUUAGAUCUAUCCUGAUAUAAGAAGUUGAGGAUGUUCCUUUCUUUGCACACUUCUAUUAGCUCUCUCCACCUCUGAAUAGCAUCGUUUUCAGUUCCCCGAUCAAAGGGCAUUCCACUCACGAAAUUUAGUCUGAAUGCUAGCAAGUAAAUCCAGUACUACUUGUCAUAAUUCUAGCUAAUUUGGUUGUUAAUCUAACCUUAUUUUUCCUAUGAGACUAUAUUGUGAGCAAAAAUUAUUCUUCCUGGGUUUCAGACAGAAAACAGAUCAAAAUUGCUCUGAAGAAAGUAUUCAAUUUCAUAAGUAGCUAUUUGUGGAAUAGGGGAAAAGACGAGAUAGCUUAUUGAUUGAAACAUCAGGCUUGAAACACAUGCACACAAACCACAAGAUUCAAUUAUAGCUAAAUUAACUCAACCAUUAAUAUUUCUCUGGUAUAUAAACAAAAUUCCAUGCAUUUUAUGGUGUGUAGAGGCUCAUUCUGAAUACCCAUGCAAUAUUGCUGUCUUUUUUCUAUGGCCAUUAGUUUGAUGGAACUUUUUGGCCAAAUAUACAUACAAGGUCAAAGAUGCAUACAAUUACCUACUAUGUUUUAAAAAAUAAAUAAAUAAA